UACGGAGGAUCCAAGCGUUAUCCGGAUUUAUUGGGUUUAAAGGGUGCGCAGGCGGAAGAUUAAGUCGGCGGUGAAAUUUUGCAGCUCAACUGUAAAAGUGCCAUCGAUACUGGUUUUCUUGAGUGUGGAUGAAGUAGGCGGAAUUUGUGGUGUAGCGGUGAAAUGCAUAGAUAUCACGAGGAACUCCGAUUGCGCAGGCAGCUUACUAAACUACUACUGACGCUCAGGCACGAAGGCGUGGGGAGUCAAACAGGAUUAGAUACCCCGUA
rnacentral:rRNA from 1 species